CUUAGCUCAGUUGGUAGAGCAAUUGACUCUUAAUCAAUGGGUCCAGGGUUCGAUUCCCUGA
rnacentral:tRNA from 1 species